UUGAGUUGAUAGUCUUGAGUCAAGAGUAGUAUAUCUUGUAGUUGGUAGUCGAGCUGUUGGCUCGAUUAGUUGACAUGAGUUUUUGCUUUGAUGCAAUUACGUGGGUGUUGCUACGGGUAGUAACGACAAAGGUGUUCUAUAUUCUAAGAGUUUGGUAGUUGUUCUCCUAAAAGCUCUUGCAGUCUGUAAGAUCCGGGUCCCAUAACCUUUGAUACGAUGUAAGGACCCUCCCAUGGUGAGUUGAGUUUAUGCAACCCUGUCGUGUCUUGGAUUCGCUUGAGGACCAUAUCACCC
rnacentral:lncRNA from 1 species